UUAAAACUGUUUGAAUAUUAUGGGGAACCUUCCUCAAAGGCUAAAUAUAAUACAUAAGCGAUAGUGAAAAGUACCAUGAGGGAAAAAAAAUAAAAAUAGUAGUUUUAUAAGCAGUUCGAAAUAAAGAACGUACCUUUUGCAUAAUGGGUCACCAAGUUAACGUUAGAUGCGAGAUAAUACGUAGUUAAACCGAACGUUAAAAUAACGAUAUAGUAUCUAAAGUUAGACCCGAAGCCUGGUGAUUUUACCAUGGUCAGGAUUAUAAAAGUCCGAACCGGUGAUUGUAGCAAAAAUCUCGGAAGAACUGUGGUAGGUGUAGUGAAAGACAACACUGACUAGGAUAGCUGGUUUUCUGCGAAACCUAUAAUAGUAGGCAGUUUAAGUAAAUAUCUUAGCAGGUACAGAAUUUAAUCUCAGACAAGACAUUUCAAUGUUUUAUAUUGUACAAAUUGGGGGAUCAUGAAGAUUUUAUCAGUGAGUAUGUAGACUCGGAAUGGCAAAGAUAUAUCUUAAACUAUCAGACAUAGAAUGAUAAGGUUGUAUGUCGAAAGGGAAACAGCCCAGAACAAGAGUUAAGGUUCCUAAAUUAUUUGUUAAGUGAAAAUAAGAAGGUUUUUAUUUAAGUCGACAAGGAGAUAGGCUUAGAAGCAGCCAUAAUUUUAUGACCUCGUAACAGAGCGCUUGUUAAAUUAUAAAAGCGUCGAAAAUAUAACGGAUCUAAACAAUAUACCGAAACCUUGUCCAUAAUAUAUUAUAAUAAAUAUGUUUAUUAUAAUUAAAUGGGGUAGCAGAACGUUGAGCUAAAGUAUGAGUUUUAUUUUUUAAAUAAAAUUAUAUUAAUUUAACUCAAGUGAGAAUGGUGACAUGAGUAACUAAAAGAAAAUUUUCCGCCUUAAGCUUAUGGAUGUAAUUAAGUAACGGCCUCUAAGUUUAUAUAAUCUAAAGAUUUAAACGAUGAGAAAAUCUUUAUUACUAAAAACAACAUUUUGGUGCAAAAUGUGCUGGAAAAAUAGUAAUAUGUUUGUUAUUAAAUAACAAAUAAAAUAACCGUACCUAGAAUCUGAAACAAGUAAGCUAGUAGAGAAUACGAAGGCGUAAAUGAGCUAACAAUCAUAAAGGAACUCGGCAAAUUGACUACCGUAACUUCGGAAUAAGGAGGGCUCAUUAUUCUUGAUGAAUAUCAAGUAAAGAGGAAGAAGCAUGAAAUAAUGUUGUACGACUGUUUAAUUAAAACACAGCACUUUGCUGAAAGAUUAAAAAUCUAAGUAUAAAGUGUGAUAUCUGCCCGGUGCCGGCUGGUUAACAGAGAUAAUUGAAUACACUAAUAUUUGAUGUCGACGGAAACCCCGGUUAAAGGCGGCCUUAACGUGAGGGUCUAUAAGGGUCCUGUUUAAAUUCGGCUAAUUGCUGGAACGGGUCAAAUAAUUGGUAAUAGUGCCUUUAUACCUAAAAGUCACAGAUGUUUACACACAGACCUCAAUCAGCAGGAAAGAUUAAAUAAAUUAGUUCAGGAUGAGAACUACAAAUUUUGAUUAGGUGGAUUCAUUGAAGGGGAAGGAUCAUUAGUUGUAUCUUUAGUAAAAAAUAAUAAAGUUACACAUGGUCUAGUUUUACAACCUGAAUUUAAUGUUGUUCAACAUGAAAGUGGUUUAGCUAUACUUAAUUCUUUUAAAGUUCUUUUUGAGGACAAAGGUUCUGUACAUAAAAAGUCAGGAUCUGAAGAUGUAUGAGUUUAUUCUUUAAAAGGAACUCAAAAUCUUAAAACUCUAGUAUUACCGUAUUUUGAAAAGUAUGUAAUAACAUAUUCUAGUAAAUAUAAAGGAGAAGUGUUUGAAAAGUUCUCACUUAUUAUAAAUAAAUUAUCUGAUAAUAAAAAUAAAACUUUUAGUAAGGAAGAACUUAUUUAUCUAAUAGAAUUAGUUUAUUCAUAUAAUCCAGAAACAAAAGGUAAAUCAAGAAAAAGAACAUUAGAGGAAACUUUAAAUAUAAUUAACCAGAAGAACCCUUAAUUAAAAUUUGGAGCACGUUACCUUAACCUAUAAAGUAAGUAAGGUACUUACAAACAGGAAACCCUAACUUCUAAGAAGUUAAAUAAAAUAUAGGUAGGGUAAUAUGCUUAAGUAUUUAAAAUCUUCAGAGGCCAUACGCCGAACGAUUUACCUGUGUUUAAUACAAGUAAGUAUUAAAUAUGGAAAUUAUUCUACAUCCUUCUUAUAUAAGAUCUAGCUAAUUUUGUUAGAAUAGAAUAAUACUUAUUUAUAGUAGUUGUAAAUUGAUGAUAUGGUCCGACCGAUUAUAAAGAAAAGAAAUUUUCACAUCGGUAGCCUAAGGUAGCGAAAUGCCUUGGCCGUUAAAUGCGGUCUUGCAUGAAUGGUGUAACGAUACAACAGCUGUCUCUAUGAUUGACUCAGUGAAAUUGGAAUAGCUGUGCAGAUACAGCUUACCUCUAGUUAGACGAGAAGACCCUAUGCAGCUUUACUGUCACUAAUUAUAGAGUAUGAUAAACGAUUUUCAGAAUAUAAGGUAAUUGACAAACAUGACAAUGAGAAACCUUUAUUCUUUUUUCAUAUGAAUGAAUUGGUUUAGGAUUAUGAGUAAUUUAUAAUUAAUUUUAUGGAUUUAGCUUAGGCUUGAUCGCAUUUUAUUAUUAUAUAGCUCAUUUUAGUAAAUCAACCUAAUUCAACUUAUUUAUUUUAUAAUAAUUAAGUACCCUUUGGUAAGGAACUAUCGCUAGGGGACAGUUUAUGUGGGGCACAGACCCUGUAAAGAGUAAACAGGAGUGUCUAAAAAUUUAUAAUUAUUUUGUUUGCUAUUUUGAGUAGUUUAACUAUUUUUAAUCGUAUAAAAUUAAAUAUAUUUGCAUUUUAUGUAUAUAUAUUUAAAAUUAGGUAAGAUUUUCACUAUAUAGAAAUUAGAGAUAAUUGAAAGUAUUAUGAAAUUUUCUAAUAUUUUCUAGCUAUUAUUUAUAAUGGUUAUGUGUUUAAUAUCUAAAAAGCUCAACGGCUAAAUCUUGCCUUACUGUUUGAUUAUCGACAAAUCUUACAGUUGCGUAAGCAGGGCAUAGGAUCACAAGAUGCCACAAGGAAAGAUCUUGGAUUAUUGGAAAAGCUACGCUAGGGAUGUUUGUCCUUUAAUAUUUUAUUUAUAAAUAAAAUUAUUAAUAUAAAUUGGGUAAAUUUCAAGAAUUACUAAUAAUGAUAGUAAACUUGAAGCGAAGUUUAUCUUAGCAUAUACUAUAAGAUAAAAACGUUCAACGACUAUAAGGUGAGUAAUAUGCAAUACACAAUAAUCCUUUAAUACUACCCAACAUUUUUAUUAGACAUAUUUUAAAGGAAAAGUAAAAUGAAUUAAUUAUAACAUAAUUAUAAUGAAGAAAAAUCUUAAUAUAAAAAUAUUUAAUAACAAUUUAAAUAAUAAUUCUAAAACAGUUGCUUUAAGAAAAAAAAUAGGAGAUAUAGGAAAAAUAAAAUAUUUACCUUCUUUUUCUAAAGAAUGAAAGAAUACUAUUUAUUGCUAUAAUAAGAAUAUGUUAAAAAAUAUACCUGCUAAUGAUGUAAAUAUUAAUAAAAUAAUUCAAAGUUAUUUCAAUUUAUAUUUUAAAGAUCAUAAAUAUGUAGGAUCUAGGAAAUUUAUAUUACUUAGAAGAAGACGUACAUUCUUAAGAAAAAUAUAUGUAAGUAACGCUGAAAUUAAACAUACUAAUAAUAAAGCGAUAAUUACUUUAUUUACAGUAAAUAGAGAAAAAAAAAUAUUAAAAAAUAAAUAUUUAAAAAUAAAUAAAAAAAUAAAUCAAAACUUAAUAAAUCGUUAUUUAUUAUUAUAUAAAAAUAAUGUAUCUAAAAUAUAUGAUAUAAUAAAUAAACAUAAAGAUGAACAUGAUUUUUUAUCAAAUAAAGGUUAUAAAAUUACUAAAAAAGGAUUUUUAAAAUAUAGAUUAGAAUAUCUAAGUAAAUUUAUAAAAUUAAAACAUCUUUAUUUAAGAAAAAUUUGAAGUGUAAUUAUUAGUAAAUAUUGAAGAACACAUUUAAAAUUAUUAAGAAAAUAUGAUUUAAUGUAUUCUCUUAACCAAUAUAAAUUUAAUAAAUUAACAUUUUUACCUAAAUUAAGUAAUAUAUUGAACAAGAUAAUAGGAAAAAAAAUCGAAUAUAAUAUAAUAAAUUUAAAAUCUAUUGCAUAUAAUACAGAUCUUUUUACUAAUGCUUUAGCAUUAAAAUUAAAAAAACAAAGAAUGAAUUAUAUAAAAAGUAUGUUUAGUAUAUUAAAUAGAGCAUAUUUACCUAAAAUAAAUACAAUAAAAGAAAGAACUUUAGUAAAAGGACAAAAAAAUAUUGAUUUAUACUUGGACAAAUAUAAAGAUUUAAAUAUAAUUUCUAAUUUAAAUAAUACUAAUUUAGAUAAAUUAUUAAACGAGAUACAUGAUACGACUUAUGUUGGUGAAAAUACUGCUGUAGGUUUACCAACACAACAUAAUAAAAAAAUUCAUAAUCUAAUAUACAAUUCCAUAGGUUAUAAAAAUAUGGGAGGUAUAAGAUUAGAAGUUAAAGGAAGAUUAACUAAACGUUAUAGAGCGGAUAGAUCUAUUUAUUCAUUAAAAUGAAAAGGUGGAUUAAAAAAUGUAGAUUCUUCUUUCAAACGUUUAAGUUCAGUCUUGUUUAGAGGAAACUCUAAAUCUAAUAUGACUUAUACAUUAACUAACUCAAAGCGUAGAAUUGGAGCUUUCGCGGUUAAAGGAUGAAUAAGUGGUAAAUAAGGUAAAUAAAUAUUAAGGAAAAUCUAAAAUAUGUAAAAUAAAAAUGAAGACAUAGUCUGAACCAUUUUUAAAGAAAUGGAAAUAUAAAAUAUGAUAACAUAUAGAACAGGCUAAUUUGCGCAAGAGUGUACAAAAUGAGUGCGCGGUUUGGCACCUCGAUGUCGGCUUAACUUAUCCUCAUGGAUGCAGGAACUAUGUAGGGUGCGACUGUUCGUCGAUUAAAAAGUUACAUGAGCUGGGUUAAAUACGUCGUGAGACAGUAUGGUUUCUAUCUUCUAGGGGGAAUUAGAAUAUAAUAAGAACAAACUUUUGUACGAAAGGAACAAGAAGAGUUUAGCUGUAAAAGGUUAAACGAUGGUUACUAAUCUAUGGUUUACCUGUUGUUUAUGUGCCCAAAUAUUCAACAUAUAUAUUUAUAUAUAUGUAUUUGUAUUUUUAUACAUAGGGAUGUUUCUUUCACUAAGAUAAAUAUAUAGCAUAAGCACGGCAGGAACGCUAAGUUAGUUAAGGAUAAGUGCUGAAAGCAUAUAGGCACGAAGCUUAUCUUAAGAUAUUUCUUAAAUAUGCGUAAUAUAUUAUUACGAAAUAAUUAUAGGCUUUAUCCGUAAGAAUCUAGAGAUUUUCAAGAAUAAAGUACUAAUUUAAUAAAUCACUAUUUAUAUAUAUAUCAAU
rnacentral:rRNA from 1 species